rnacentral:rRNA from 1 species
AGCAGACCGCGGUUAAGUUUCCGAGCUCCAAUAGCGUAUAUUAAACGUUGUUGCAGUUAAAAAGGCGUCAUAGUUGAAUUUCGGGAUCAAUUAAUUGGUCGUGCCUAUGGUACGUACUGAUUUUAUUGGUUUCUCCCUUCUGACGAACCAUGAUGUCAUUAAUUUGGUGUCGUGGAGAAUCAGGACUGUUACUUUGAAAAAAAUUAGAGUGUUUAAAGCAGGCUAACGCUUGAAUACAUUAGCAUGGAAUAAUGAAAUAGGACGUUUGAUCCUAUUUUGUUGGUUUCUAGGAUCGACGUAAUGAUUAAUAGGGAUAGUUGGGGGCAUUAGUAUUCAAUUGUUAGAGGUGAAAUUCUUGGAUUUAUUGAAGACUAACUACUGCGAAAGCAUUUGCCAAGGAUGUUUUCAUUAAUCAAGAACGAAAGUUAGGGGAUCGAAGACGAUCAGAUACCGUCGUAGUCUUAACCAUAAACUAUGCCGACUAGGGAUCGGAUGAUGUUAAUUUUUUAAUGUACUCAGU